AGAGUUUGAUCCUGGCUCAGAGCGAACGCUGGCGGCAGGCCUAACACAUGCAAGUCGAGCGGCCGUAGCAAUACGGCAGCGGCAGACGGGAGAGUAACACGUGGGAACGCGCCCUUCGGUUCGGAAUAACUCAGGGAAACUUGGGCUAAUACCGGAUACGCCCUUACGGGGAAAGAUUUAUUGCCGAAGGAACGGCCCGCGUCCGAUUAGCUUGUUGGUGAGGUAACGGCUCACCAAGGCGACGAUCGGUAGCUGGUCUGAGAGGAUGACCAGCCUCACUGGGACUGAGACACGGCCCAGACUCCUACGGGAGGCAGCAGUGGGGAAUAUUGGACAAUGGGCGCAAGCCUGAUCCAGCCAUGCCGCGUGGGUGAUGAAGGCCCUAGGGUUGUAAAGCCCUUUCAGCGGGGAAGAUAAUGACGACCCCGCAGAAGAGCCCCCGU
rnacentral:rRNA from 1 species